GAGAGAGAAUAUGUAUACAUGAAGUUGGGAGGAAAAAGCUAGUGGGACUAUAGGAGAGGAGGAAUUGGAGGAAAAGGAGUUGAGAAUGGAUUUCAUCCAAACAAGUAAUGUGUGUAUAAAUAUCAAAUAAAAUAUUUUUAAAAGAUAAAAGAAAUGCAAGGUGGAAAAAUAUAGCUUGGAAAAAAAACCAUCCAGAAGCACACAGGCUGGGGGUAUAGCCCAUCAGCGGAACAGUGUGCUGGGCAUGCUUCAGGGAGCUCAAUCCCUAUCACCAGUCGGGUGACUCUGAUCUGCAGUUACUUGCUGAUUGCAGUCAUUGGCACAUCAUUUUUCUUCUGAAAGCAGAGCCCUCGGGCAAACAGCGUCACUCUGGAGUUAGGAAAUGUGGAGUCAAGGCCGCACUCAGACCUGCGUUUUGAAAAUCCUUGGUGACUGGUACAGGCACAGGAACUGUUGCCGGUCGAGUCGUGUGAGUUCAACUGGGGAAACCUGAACGGUGGUCCCCUUUCUAACCCAGGAGUGGAGUCACGUGAUGAGACCUCGCCCCGCUUGUGAGAACACUCCAAGAGAACAAGAAUUCUGGCGGCCUCAGUUUCUUCAAACCACAGAAUUGUCCUUGGAGCGUGGUCUCGUGCUCCCCUCAGGUGGAGCGGAUAGGAGUGACUUUACUUGAUCAGAUCGCUCAUUAUUGCUCUCCGCUGUUAUUAAUUAAAGAUUUAAGCUACCCUUUAUAAUCCUCUGUGGAAAAACACGUUUUUUUAACCA